rnacentral:lncRNA from 1 species
GCUGAGGUUUGCUCUAAUUCAGCAGUAAAGAGCGGGUUUUCCUGGAGGAAAGGGGUGGGACAAGCAGCAGUCUGGAUGAGUCCCUCUGUCUUGCUCUUUGGUCACUGUGACUGAGCACCAUUUUGGGCCCAUCUGUGUCCAUGGGGAAGGGGAUCAACCCAGAAGUUGUGGAGGAAACGGGAAGAGAAGCUUGUUCAAGAGACUGGCUCAUGUCGGAAGGAGGCCUGAACGCAUCCCAGACGAAGCCCCCCACAGCUGAAAGGCAUUCGGAGACAAAGCAUCAGCAAAGAGCAGAAGAUCAGCUCCUGUUCCAUCAAGAACACAGACGAAUCUCUAGUCUGCAUUCAGGUGAGUUAAGCAUCCCAGGUCUCUUUGGUUUUCCUGUCCAUUACAAACCUGACUAGAGGCUCCAUCAACUCAGCCCCUACACUAUUUGCAUGCAUGAAAGGGGCAGCCUUUUCCUAGAGCCCAACCUUGGGCUGUUCCUGCCACCAUCUUACCUGCAGGAGUUCACUCGCUGGCUGCUGACUCUUCUCCUCCAUCUCCUGGAUGAUCCUCUCAAGAGAGGAGAGUUUCCUGGAGAGUCUGGCCAGCUGCUCAUCCCUUCUCCCUGCAAUCUCCUUCUCCACCUCUUCCACACGAGUCAGCAAACGUUUUUUUUGUUCUUCCAGGAACUGGCGCAGUUCUCUGAACUUC